rnacentral:pre_miRNA from 1 species
CAACUACUCCCUUUGUCCCAAAUUUCUUGUCUUAGAUUUGUCUAGAUACGGAUGUAUCUAAUAAUAAAAUGUGACUUGAUACAUCCGGAUCUAGACAAAUCUAAGACAAGAAUUUUGGGACGGAGGGAGUACUUU